CGCCUUGUGCAUGGGGCAAUGAUGUAGCUAGUGAGGUUAUACUGAUGCAGGUCAAUUGCUGGUUGAAAACUAUUUCCAAACCCCCUCUUUGGCCCUCUAGGGUUAUUGAGAAUUUCCGGAAGGGUUCCCUCUCUUCGUAGAUGGUAAAACC